rnacentral:rRNA from 1 species
CUACGAAUGGGUGGUACAAAGAGCAGCUAACUCGCGAGAGUAUGCAAAGUCUCAAAAAGCCAUCCUCAGUUCGGAUUGGAGUCUGCAACUCGACUCCAUGAAGUUGGAAUCGCUAGUAAUCGCGGAUCAGCAUGCCGCGGUGAAUACGUUCCCGGGCCUU